rnacentral:rRNA from 1 species
GGCUACCGCUAUUGGAGUUCGAUUAAGCCAUGCGAGUCGAGAGUCCUCGGGACUCGGCGUACCGCUCAGUAACACGUGGGUAACCUGCCCUAUGCUGGGGAAUAACCUCGGGAAACUGAGAAUAAUGCCCCAUAGCCCACUACGCCUGGAACGGUGAGUGGGUCAAAGCCCCGGCGGCAUAGGAUGGGCCUGCGCCGUAUCAGGUUGUAGGGGGUGUAAAGUACCCUCUAGCCAUCAACGCGUACGGGUGUUGGGAGACAUUGCCCGGAGAUGGAUUCUGAGACACGAAUCCAGACCCUACGGGGUGCAGCAGGCGCGAAAACUUGGCAAUGCGAGCAAUCGUGACCAGGGAACUCCAAGUGCGUAGGGUAAGACCUACGCUUUUCUUGACUCUUCAAAGGUCUUGGAAUAAGGGGUGGGUAAGGACGGUGCCAGCCGCCGCGGUAAUACCGGCGCCUCAAGUGGUAGUCGCUUUUAUUGGGCCUAAAACGUCCGUAGCCGGUCUGGUGCAUUCGUGGGUAAAUCAACCCGCUCAACGGGUUGAAUUCUGCGAGCACGGCCAGACUUGGGACCGGGAGAGGUGUGGGGUACUCCCAGGGUAGGGGUAAAAUCCUGUCAUCCUGAGAGGACCACCUGUUGCGAAGGCGCCACACUAGAACGGAUCCGACGGUCAGGGACGAAACCUAGGGGCACGAACCGGAUUGGAUACCCGGGUAGUCCUAGGUGUAAACGCUGUGGACUUGAUGUUGGGGGCGCUCCGAGCGCUCUCAGUGUCGAAGCGAAGGUGAUAAGUCCACUGCCUGGGGAGUACGGUCGCAAGGCUGAAACUUAAAGGAAUUGGCGGGGGAGCACUGCAACCUGAGGAUUGUGCGGUUU